rnacentral:lncRNA from 1 species
GCUGGCAGUUAUCUUGUGUUCUUGAAGGAAGCAGGCCUGAGGAGGACUCCUCAUACAGAGAGAAACACCGAGAGAUUCACUGAAAAACUGACAUGGGAUCCUGAGGGGCCACUCUUGAAGACUUAUCUCUGCACCUUUCUGGGCACUGUGCAUACAGCAAUGAUCAGCAUGAUUCCAGUGCUCAGAGAGCUCCAAGGAUUAGUUGAGACCAGACAAGAAUAUCAAGGAGGCAUGCAGAAGUUACAAUGGGAAAUCAAAAAGAAGACAAAGGAGGGACACCUAAUUCAGAACGAUGGGUUUGUUGGAUAGGAGAGAAAAGGAGACGAAUGGGCAGUCUCUACUGCUGUCUCAAGAGGAUGCUUUGAACUGUUGAUUGGGUAAUGUUUUAACAUAAACGGAACUCUCCACUCCACCGAAAAAGAAAGAAGAGGAAGAAACAGAUUUAUCUGAACAGACUGAGAAGAAAAUUGGAGGUGAAAAGUUGAGUGACUGGGGAGGAUUAAGAGAGGCCCAUCGAGUUGUUUGUUUGCGGAGAUGAGUUAGCAGUAGUAUAAACUUUAAGAAAGAAGAGAUCUGGCCGGGCGCAGUGGCUCAUGCCUGUAAUCCCAGCACUUUGGGAGGCUGAGGCUGGCGGAUCACUGAGGUCAGGGGUUCAAGACCAGCCUGGCCAACACGGUGAAACCCCGUCUCUACUAAAAAUACAACAAUUAGCUUGGUGUGGUGGCGCAGGCCUAUAAUCCCAGCUACU